rnacentral:rRNA from 1 species
GACGAACGCUGGCGGCGUGCUUAACACAUGCAAGUCGAACGGUGAAGCGCCUUCCUUUUUGGUGGGUGUGGAUGAGUGGCGAACGGGUGAGUAACACGUGAGUAACCUGCCCCCUUCUUCUGGAUAACCGCAUGAAAGUGUGGCUAAUACGGGAUAUUCUGGGUCUGUCGCAUGAUGGGUCUGGGAAAGAUAUUGUUUCGGUGGGGGAUGGGCUCGCGGCCUAUCAGCUUGUUGGUGGGGUGAUGGCCUACCAAGGCGGUGACGGGUAGCCGGCCUGAGAGGGUGGACGGUCACACUGGGACUGCCACACGACCGGGACUGCUACGGGAGGCAGCAGUGGGGAAUAGUGCACAAUGGGCGCAAGCCUGAUGCAGCGACGCCGCGUGAGGGAUGGAGGCCUGCGGGUUGUGAACCUCUUUCGCCAGUGAAGCAGGCCUGCCUCGUUUGUGGGUGGGUUGACGGUAGCUGGAUAAGAAGCGCCGGCUAACUACGUG